rnacentral:lncRNA from 1 species
AUACACCUGAAACUAACACUACACUAUUUGUUAACUAACUGGAAUCUAAAAACGUGAAAAAUAAUAAAAAGCAAAACAAAAACCAAAAACCUAGUAACCCUGAAAUAGGAAGAUAGUAUAAUUUGUGCUCUGUAGUUUUCAAGCAUGACUCUUGGACACUCCUAGAUAUCCCACGAGUAAAUAAAGUGUCUUUAAUAAAUAUAUCCUUUUUCUUUUAGCUAGCUAAUGUGGAUUCUGUUCUCUGCAACUGAGAGCCCCAGUGAUAUAAUAACUGCAGAGAAAAAAGAGAAAAAGUGGUAAGGUUCAUGCUGGACAUGACCCUGUAAUUAAAUAAUUACCAAAUGUGUAUGAGUACUGGAAAUACAUAUUGUUGCCCUGGUGUUAUUCUUUAUUACUAUGUUUAUUUCCUUAUUUAGAUUUAAAGUGCCUCAAAGACAAGGACAUUAUCUUCUCUCAUCAGAGAAGAUCAGUAUUUAAGAACAUGGGCUCUUCCACCAGACUGCCUCAUAUGAAUCCUGUCUGCCCUAUUUCUUAGCUGUAGGACCUUCUCUGUUCCUUAUAAAUGUUCAGAUUCGAUGUGAUAAUAACCAUAAAAAGUUUAUCACAGUCCCACCAAUGUGGCAAGACUUAACAAAGACCAGCAGUAAUUAUGAUCACAUGACAACUGUAUAGAACUCAUUAUAAUGACAGCAAAAGAGUGAAAAAGUGCAUGGAAAUCACCUCCAAUCCUGUAAUAUUAUAGGAUGUGGGGAUUUUUCCCUGAAGGUUUUUUCUUGUUCUCUGAUGGAGCAAUGGAUGAUGUCUGCUGUCACCCAUUCUUGCCCUUGAAGGGGAGGGGAUGUCUUCAACAACAUGGAGACACUGAAGUUAUGCUUUGGGAAGUGACCAAUAUAAGCAAAGGAGUUUUGUUUGCCUUAUCUAGGUGCUGUACACUGAAGAAUUUAAGCCUCUGGCUUUGUUUUCUUGGGCUAGAAACAGGGGAAGAUCUUGCUGCCUUGAUCACUGGGGCAGCAAAGAUACUCUGAGGAUAGGGCAGAGAGCACAAAAGGAAAAAGAACUUUCCACUGUAAAUUCCUGGUCAAUUCUGUACGGUCUGAGGGGCAACCUCCAUAGCAACAAUAAAUGAAUGUUUGAAC